rnacentral:lncRNA from 1 species
GAGACCUGCAGCCCCCCGACCAUCGGAGGCUCCCCUCUUAGACUUAUAAGUCUGUGGCUACAGGCAUCGGCUGCCUGCCUCCUAGCCUCCCCAGGGUCCCCUCAGAGGACUCCUGGGCUUUCUGACCACCUGAGGGGCCUCCAGCGCUCCCUCCAGCCAUCCCCUUUAGCUUCGAUCUCCUGGUUCAAACACUACUGGCCUCAUGGCUGUUACAUGGGACUCCCUGAGGCUUGGGGUGGCCCUGAGCCAGUGAGAUGGGAAACAGAGUGAGCAGAAAAGAGGGAGGCCCUGUGGUGCAUUGCCUGGGUGGUGUGUGAGAGGCCGUGUGUGUGGCAAGAGAGGGCCACCCAGCCUCUCCCCAGACUACCCUCUAGUUACCGCCCAGCACCUCCCAUCUUCCAUUCAUCAACUGCCCGUCUCUUCCGGGAACCUUGCCCACAUCCACACCUGCCUCAUCCCCUCUGCCUCUGCUGAAGGUGGCUACUCUUGCCUUACCAGCUCUCCUUCCUUUUCUUUCUUCGGUUCUCUCUUGGCUUUCUCUCCAACUGCCAGCCGAUCGGGUCAGGCAAGUCCGUCCCGUCCUGAGAGCCCCAGGCCCCCCUUCGACCUCUAACCAGAUCCCUCCUACUCCUCGGAGACCUCCCUUAUCAAGCCUGCCUGGACAGCUGUUCUGUGACUUGACAGUGGCUCCCCCGACCCCAAAGCGUCCUAUUCAUCAUCUGUGACUUAGUCUGUUGUAGUGGUGAGCUGAUACAUCCAAAUGUGAUGUUGGUGAAAACUUGUGCCCCUCUGUGGUAUUGCUCCUGCGACAUUCUAUAAAUAUCUAUAAAUAUACCUAUAUAUACAUAUAUAUACAUAUAUAUGGCUGACACAGCCUCGCCUGUAGUGUCAGAAUCAACCACCAUGCUGUCCUUG